rnacentral:rRNA from 1 species
AGCGAACGCUGGCGGCAGGCCUAACACAUGCAAGUCGAACGACCUCUUCGGAGUUAGUGGCGGACGGGUGAGUAACACGUGGGAACGUGCCUUUUGGUUCGGAAUAACUCAUUUAAACUUGUGCUAAUACCGAAUGUGCCCUUCGGGGAAAAGAUUUAUCGCCAUUAGAGCGGCCCGCGUCUGUUUAGCUAGUUGGUGAGGUAACGGCUCACCAAGGCUACGAUCAGUAGCUGGUCUGAGAGGAUGACCAGCCACACUGGGCCUGAGACACGGCCCAGAAUCCUACGGGAGGCAGCAGUGGGGAAUCUUGCGAAAUGGGCGAAAGCCUGACGCAGCCAUGCCGCGUGAAUGAUGAAGGUCUUAGGAUUGUAAAAUUCUUUCACCGGGGACGAUAAUGACGGUACCCGGAGAAGAAGCCCCGGCUAACUUCGUG